rnacentral:rRNA from 1 species
GCCGGUGUAAAGACGGUAAUAGGAGGAUUGCUAGGUUUGAGAAGAGAUGAAGGACGUGGCAAGCUGCGAUAAGCUCGGGGUAGGCGCAUGCGACCUUCGAUCCCGAGAUGUCCGAAUGAGAAUCUUAUGUUUACAUACUCCGUUACAAUGGUGGCGGAGGUCGAACCGUCGGAAUUGAAGCAUCUUAGUACGACGAGGAAGAGAAAUCAAUAGAGAUUACCCAAGUAGUGGCGAACGAAAAGGUAAGAGCCCAAACUGAAUCUGUUAUGGUAACAUAACAGAGAUGUGGUGUAUACGGACUCAUAUAAUGAUCCUAGAACACAGUCGAAAUGAUCUGGAACGUUCUGGCAUAGAGGGUGAAACCCCCGUAAACGAAGUGGUAUAGGAUUAGUUGAGUACCAGAGUAGAUGUCCUUGGUAGUGGGCAUCGAAUAUUAGGAGAAAGUAGCUUCUAAGGCUAAAUAUAUCUCAAAACCGAUAGUGUACUAGUACCGUGAGGGAAAGCUGAAAAGUACCCCGGAAGGGGGGUGAAAAGUGCAUGAAACCUAUUACUUACAGACGUGCAUAGCAUGAAAGGUGAUUUUUCUAGACCAGAGGUUCUAGCAAUAGAGCUGAAAGUUUAGAGCUCAAAUCGUCAGUGUUAUGCGUUCCGUCUCGAAACACGGGCCAGGGAGCUAACUGUCAUGGCAAGACUAAGCCAGUCAAGGCGAAGUCGAAGGGAAACCGAGUUCUCGCAGCAUUAGCGAGGAGAAGCGUGUGAAAGUGCGUUGAGUCAUGGCGGCUAGGCUAGAAGCCAGUCGAUCUAUUCCUGAGCAAGCUGAAGGCGGGCGAAAGCCCGUUGGAGGGCUGAAGCCGUACUAGCGUGCAAACUGUUGGUGUGACUUGGGAAUAGGGGUCAAAAACCAAUCUAGACUGGCGAUUGCUAGUUCCAACCGAAGCGUCUCGUAGGGCGUCCUCAGUGGAGAUAGCAUUUCCUGUAGAGCACUGAUAGGGCGGCGCGGGGAAGAAAUUCCUCACCGCCCAUUCAAACUCCGAAGGGAUAUGCAUCGUAGAAGCUGGGAGACGGGUUCGUGUGACGUAAGGUUCACGACCGAAAGGGGUUUAACCCAGACUGAAGUUAAGGUCCCCAAAUUUUUGCUAAGUGUCAAGCUAAAGUGUGUGUUCUCGCCAAGACAGCAGGGAGGUAAGCUCAGAAGCAGCUAUCCUUUAAAAAGUGUGUAACAACUUACCUGCCGAGAGAGGGCGCCACAAAAACGGACGGGGCUAAAGCAAAAUACCGAUACUUUAGAUACUUGCCAAUGGGCAAGUCAUGGUAGGUUGGCGUAGUGAUUGGGUCGAAGCAGGGCGGUGACGUCCUGUGGACCGGUUUCUAUUGCAGAUCCUGGCGGCAGUAACAGCAUAGUAGAGUGAGAACCUCUACCACCGCAAGCGCAAGGGUUUCCAGGCAAUGCGUUAUCAGCCUGGAGUUAGUCGAUCCUAAGGAUUGCCUCAAAAGAGUAAUUCGAAAGGGAAACUGGUUAAUAUUCCAGUACCAAACAAAUUGCGUUAUUAUCUAUAUGGACAUCUUCCGGAUAGGGGGAGCAUAACCAUCGUUGUGUUUAAGUGUUCGAGAUUUGGGGAGUGUCGUAAUGACGAGAACCAUUUCGAGACAUUAGUGGCUCUGUGUUAACAGAGUUUUCUUGAAUCCAGGAGACCUUGAAAAUCUGUGUAGAAAGUGAUUUGUUUGUUCGUACCGAGAACCGACACAGGUGCGCUGGCUUAGAAAGCUAAGGUGCUACGGGUAUACCGUAUGGUGAGGGAAAUCGGCAAAUUAGUCCUGUAGCUUAGGUAUAAGGGAUGCCUGCUUGCUUAAUGAGGAAUUGGGCGAGCAGGUUGCAAUGACAAGGGGGUUUCGACUGUUUAAUAAAAACACAGGCGACUGCUAGUCCGAAAGGAUGUGUAUAGUCGCUGAAUCCUGGCCGGUGCGGGUACCUAAAACUUGGGUUCAACCGAGCUAAGGGCCCGUUAACGCCGGGAGUAACUCUGACUCUCUUAAGGUAGCCAAAUGCCUUGUCGGGUAAGUUCCGACGCGCAUGAAUGGAACAACGAGAGCCCCACUGUCCCCACCUACAACCCGGUGAAGCCACAUAAGGUGGACGAACAGUCCAUCAUCUUCCAUCGGGGAGAGAAGACCCCGUGGAGUUUUACUGCAGCUUGUGCUUGUAGUAUAGUAAAGAUUACAUAGUGUAUUUGGGAGCCUUGCCUGAUUUUCUUUGGGAAAUCAGUGAAGCGUCGAUGUAACACCAAAUUAUUUUUGCAGUACUACUUAUCUGGUGCAGACCAGAGACACGUGCAGGUGGGCAGUUCGGCUGGGGCGGCACCCCUUUGAAAAGAUAUCAAAGGGGCCCAAAGUUCGGUUC